GACGAACGCUGGCGGCGUGCUUAACACAUGCAAGUCGAACGCUGAAGCUUGGUGCUUGCACUGGGUGGAUGAGUGGCGAACGGGUGAGUAAUAAGUGAGUAACCUGCCCUUGACUCUGGGAUAAGCCUGGGAAACUGGGUCUAAUACUGGAUACGACAUGUCACCGCAUGGUGGUGUGUGGAAAGGGUUUUACUGGUUUUGGAUGGGCUCACGGCCUAUCAGCUUGUUGGUGGGGUAAUGGCUCACCAAGGCGACGACGGGUAGCCGGCCUGAGAGGGUGACCGGCCACACUGGGACUGAGACACGGCCCAGACUCCUACGGGAGGCAGCAGUGGGGAAUAUUGCACAAUGGGCGGAAGCCUGAUGCAGCGACGCCGCGUGAGGGAUGACGGCCUUCGGGUUGUAAACCUCUUUCAGCACGGAAGAGGCGAAAGUGACGGUACGUGCAGAAGAAGCGCCGGCUAACUACGUG
rnacentral:rRNA from 1 species